UACGUAGGGCGCAAGCGUUAUCCGGAAUUAUUGGGCGUAAAGAGCUCGUAGGCGGUUUGUCGCGUCUGCUGUGAAAGACCGGGGCUCAACUCCGGUUCUGCAGUGGGUACGGGCAGACUAGAGUGCAGUAGGGGAGACUGGAAUUCCUGGUGUAGCGGUGAAAUGCGCAGAUAUCAGGAGGAACACCGAUGGCGAAGGCAGGUCUCUGGGCUGUAACUGACGCUGAGGAGCGAAAGCUAGGGGAGCAAACAGG
rnacentral:rRNA from 1 species